GAGAAAGAAAAUUGAUUCAUCUCCUUCCUCACAACACUGUCGAAACAACCAUGGUCCUCGAUUGAGAUAAGUGUCGAUGAGCUAGAGAGACAUCAAGAGCUUUAAAUUCAGUAUCCAACUCCAAUCCAGGACCUGAAAGUUGCCGAGCUUAAGGUGUUUUCACCUAAGACAUUCCAAGUCUCACGAAUGUCAUGAAAACAAGCUUAAUGAAGACUUCUUCUGCUCUACAACGACAGAUCUGGUGAGUUCCAGUUGUUUAUGAAGCUUUUGUUGUCCAAAAAUCAAAGAGCUGGUGGUAAAUCUCCAUCUUCAUGUCCCUCUUGAGUGUAGAUUCUCCAGCUGGACUCAUGCCUCUCCAUUGCCUGCAUAUCCCUAGAAUUCCAAAAGGGUAAGUUUUUGUUCUUCACGAUCCAUUUCCCUUUUGCUUAUUUCGUUUUGAUUGUUGUCAUGCCCUCAUCUACCUGCUAUUUCAGAACAAUGUUUCGCCAUAUUUCUCGACUCUCAGCAGAUUGAGCUUAAAAGCUGAUACCACUGCUUGAAAUUCAAUAAAGAUAG
rnacentral:lncRNA from 1 species